rnacentral:lncRNA from 1 species
UCAUCAGUUUUCCAUUUGAAAACAUGACAGGAAGCUAAAAAGUUUGUGUAUGGUAGCUGGGAAGAGAAAUGCUGCAACCCUCUUGCUUGUUUCUGUUUGCAGGGCAUGUUAUAUGUGGGCUUCUGACACUGUGCUGCUAUGAAACCUUCUUAAGAUGGGCCUUACUCAUAGACUGGGGUACACAAGAUGUGAUACAGCCCUUUUGUGAGGGGAAGGAAAAUCGUAAACAAAAUUAUGUAGCAAUUCAUGACUUUUAACAAACUCC